GCUGGGCAAGGUGGCUCAUGCCUGUAAUCCCAGCACUUUGGGAGGCCGAGGUGGGCGAAUCACUUGAGGUCAGGGGUUCAAGACCAGCUUGACCAACAUGGUGAAACCCUGUCUCCACUAAAAAUACAAAAAUUAGCUAGACGUGGUUCAAGCAAUUCUCCUGCCUCACCUUCCAGAGUAGCUGGAACUCCAGGUGCCUGCCGCCUAAGUCCCUCACGCCUGGCUAAUUUUUGUAUUUUUAGUGGAGUCGGGGUUUCGCCACGUUGGCCAGGCUGGUCUCAAACUCCUGAACUCAGGUGAUUCACCCGCCU
rnacentral:SRP_RNA from 10 species